UGAUAACUACCCGUACCUCGGAAGUUGACCCGACAAAUGACUUUGAUUCUUUCUAUUAUGAGCUUGAAAGGCGAAUGUUGACAUUAAUAGCCGAUGAUGAGAACGAAGAUUGCGUUGGGAAUAUGACCGCCAAACGAUCAACUCCUGUGUCUAUCAAUAGACAAAGAUCCGUCGUAGAGCAACAAACCAAAAGCUAUUUUUGUUGGGAACAUGAUUCUAAGAGUUCUACAUGUUCAGUGCCCGUUUGGCUCGUGAACAUGUGGAGGAACACGAGUAGCGGGACUGGCGUUUUCUUUCCUCGUACGACUGUUACCGGAGGAGGAUUUAAACCAAGUAGAAGAUGCAAGGGCAAAAAGAAGAAUGUAUCAAUUAUUAGUUGAUAAGCUAAAAAGAUAGAUACAAUGCAAGUUUAUGAGAUGAAUUUGUAGGGAUUUUGUUGCAACCUCAACUGGUACAAUUUGUAGGGAUUUUAUUGUAACCUCAAUUGGUACAACCAAAUUAAAUAAGUUAAAGCAAAGUUGUUCAAUUAAAUUUA